rnacentral:hammerhead_ribozyme from 1 species
AUCGAGUCCCAAAUAGGAUGAAACGCGCGUCCUGGAU